rnacentral:rRNA from 1 species
GAGUUUGAUCUUGGCUCAGGACGAACGCUGGCGGCGCGCUUAACACAUGCAAGUCGAGCGAGAACCACGACCUUCGGGUUGUGGGACAGCGGCGAACGGGUGGAGUAACACGUGAGUAAUCCACCCUUGGUACCGGGAUAAGCUCGGGGAAACCCGAAUUAAUAACCGGAUAGCCCAUUAGCCUUUCGAGGCGAAUGGAAAAGUAGCUUCGGCCUCGACC